AAAUUGCUGGUGCUCAGCGCGUAACUCUUUACAUAAGCUUUCGUCAGAUUCGAAUAUUUUCAGCAUUUUCCUUCCUCAAAGAAAAAAGAUGAGGAUGUUUGUUGCAUUGCUAUUGACUGCUCUAGCUGUCAUUCUUCAAGAUUGCCGUGCAGACGAGUA
rnacentral:lncRNA from 1 species